UACGUAGGGUGCAAGCGUUGUCCGGAAUUAUUGGGCGUAAAGAGCUCGUAGGCGGUCUGUCGCGUCUGCUGUGAAAACCUAGGGCUUAACUCUGGGCGUGCAGUGGGUACGGGCAGGCUAGAGUGCGGUAGGGGAGACUGGAAUUCCUGGUGUAGCGGUGAAAUGCGCAGAUAUCAGGAGGAACACCGGUGGCGAAGGCGGGUCUCUGGGCCGUAACUGACGCUGAGGCGCGAAAGCGUGGGGAGCAAACAGG
rnacentral:rRNA from 1 species